CGGACGGGUGAGUAAUGUCUGGGAAACUGCCCGAUGGAGGGGAUAACUACUGGAAACGGUAGCUAAUACCGCAUAACGUCGCAAGACCAAAGAGGGGGACCUUCGGGCCUCUUGCCAUCGGAUGUGCCCAGAUGGGAUUAGCUAGUAGGUGGGUAACGGCUCACCUAGGCGACGAUCCCUAGCUGGUCUGAGAGGAUGACCAGCCACACUGGAACUGAGACACGGUCCAG
rnacentral:rRNA from 1 species